rnacentral:lncRNA from 1 species
GGCCGGAAGUUGCGCCCUCAUUCCUCGCCAUUUCAAAAAUGCUGCCGAGGGCUUAGGACCUGCGACUGCCACUCCUCCCCCCCCCCCUGGCUCCGAGGGGGAGCGACUCAUGGAGCGACCAUAAGUUUUAUCAACAGACUGCAGUUUCUUCAGUCAAAAUGACAUCAUAUUCCACCUCUGCCCAGUGUUCAACAUCUGAUAGUGCUUGCAGGAUCUCUCCAGAACGAGUCAAUAAG